GAGUUUGAUCAUGGCUCAGAUUGAACGCUGGCGGCAGGCCUAACACAUGCAAGUCGAGCGGAUGACGGGAGCUUGCUCCUUGAUUCAGCGGCGGACGGGUGAGUAAUGCCUAGGAAUCUGCCUGGGUAGUGGGGGACAACGUUUCGAAAGGAACGCUAAUACCGCAUACGUCCUACGGGAGAAAGCAGGGGACCUUCGGGCCUUGCGCUAUCAGAUGAGCCUAGGUCGGAUUAGCUAGUUGGUGGGGUAAUAGGCUCACCAAAGGCGACGAUCCGUAACUGGUCUGAGAGGAUGAUCAGUCACACUGGAACUGAGACACGGUCCAGACUCCUACGGGAGGCAGCAGUGGGGAAUAUUGGAC
rnacentral:rRNA from 1 species